AGUGAACGCUGGCGGCAUGCCUAACACAUGCAAGUCGAACGAAUUUCAGCAGUGUAUCGCUGAGAUGAGUGGCAGACGGGUGAGUAAUACGUGAACAAUCUUCCUUCGAGAGGGGAAUAACUCCGGGAAACCGGAGCUAAUACCGCGUGAGACCACGUCCCGGCAUCGGGAUGGGGUUAAAGCUCCGUAAGGGGCGCUUGAAGAGGGGUUCACGGCCUAUCAGCUGUUGGUGAGGUUAAAGCUCACCAAGGCUACGACGGGUAAGCGGUCUGAAAGGACGAUCGCUCACAAUGGCACUGAGACACGGGCCAUACUCCUACGGGAGGCAGCAGUGGGAAUUUUGCGCAAUGGGGGAAACCCUGACGCAGCAAUGCCGCGUGGAGGACGAAGGUCUUCGGAUUGUAAACUCCUUUUGCGGGGAAAAAUGGGCGGGUGAAUAACCCGUUUUGAUGGUACUCCGCGAAUAAGCCACGGCUAACUUCGUGCCAGCAGCCGCCGCAGUAAC
rnacentral:rRNA from 1 species